rnacentral:lncRNA from 1 species
ACAAUGUAUUUUCGUGGAAGCUGAGCCUAGAGAAGAGAAUGAAGGAUAAGCAAUGGUCCUGCAGCAGCCUGGAAUCUGUGGACGCAUAUGCAUGCUGAACAAAUGGUACAAGCAGUAGGAGACAAAACAUCACAAGGGGUCACUCGAUGCUUAAACUGAAUCCUCAUUAGAUGGUUUGGUGUUUAUGGUAAGCAUGCUCAACGAGUUGUACCGAGCGACAAAUUAACGAGAUGCUUGGACGCUUGGUGUCGAUGGCUUGUAGUACAACCCAAUUAACAAACUAAUGAGACGCUUGAUCUUGAGGCUUUCUACACAACCUUGUGCCUAAUCGACAAAAUUUUGCUAUAUAGAGUACGCUCAGCUUUCUUAGCCGAGGCAACGAUUGCAUGGGUCGAUUCAUAGAACACGGUGUCCCUGGAGAUCCCAAGCGGCUAUCCUGCGUACUUUUCUAAUCACCACGGACUUUUCUAAUCACCACAGACUUUUCUUACCUGCGUGGUGCUGCGGACCAGCGAGUCUGAGCCGCCAGGGGCCAGGGGAUGCCCGCGGGCAGGAUGAGCCCACGACAUCGAUCCUCCGCCAAUCAACCGGACGCUCGGAUGGAGAUCGCCGACGUUGAUGGACGCGCUAGCUAGGGCCACCGCCCGCGGGUGGACCCCGCGUAGACCCGGCGCAGGUUCUCCGAUGGGGCAUUUCCUCGAACACGUCCAGGGAGCGACCCCGCUGGACAGCCGCGACGGAAGGCGGGGAGGCGCGCACGCCGUGGUAGACGGGCUCGACCAUGAGCGGCGCGACGUGGUCGGGUGGUGGAUUCUGGCGCGGUUACGAGCGGCGCAGAAAUGCGCGCUG